rnacentral:lncRNA from 1 species
GAGAAAGGAAUGAAGGUUCAAAGAUGAGGGAAAAAGAUACUCCAUAUGAUUUCGAUAUAAGUAAGAAGGUAGCUCUUGCACGGGAUCGUAAUAUGGGAAAAGAUAUGAGAAAAGUGGUUAAAGAAAUUGGAUAAAUAUGAGGUCAAUUGACACAAGCCCAGCAAUCUAUUGAUCCGGAUGCCUCGGAGAUAUAUCAAAAAACUAUUAAAGCAAAGGCAACAUCUGUUCGUCCCGGUUGUAGUGAAAGGAAAGAAGGAUAUUGUGGGUAACCAUAUGAGUAUGAUUGAAUUGGCAUCUUAAAAAGGUAGAUCUGCAUGUUUGUGAGAAUCGGGAUAGCCUCGGUGUGGAAAUGGAAGAGAAUUUAGAAAGAGUCAUAUAGAGCCUAAUCAACUGUUUAGCUAAGGACAAUGUUGAAGGAGUUGUUUUGAGAAACACGUAUCCAAGGUUUGCAAAAUGCAGGAAAUAAUGAUAUUAAAAGGAACAAGAGGAAGUUUAAUGAGUUUCGAUCUGUUGGAUCUUUAUGACCCCAAAAUGUUGGACCCAAGAAGACACACUUAAUCCGGGUCAGAACUCGUGAUGUAGAGCCACCAUAAAUUCUUACCUUAGCUGAUACUAUUGCUAGUCUUAUGAAUUCAAGAGCUGAGCAGGCUAGACUGCUGAACAGGGACAUUCAGAAUUUAGGGAAUUAACGUGGUUAUUAGGAAUUGAAGCA